rnacentral:misc_RNA from 1 species
GAAGAGACUCCAACCAAUUUUCCGUCCAAAUGUAUGUCUCCGUCAAUCUCUCCGGCAGACAAGCGUCGAACAUGAACUCCCAAAUCUAGGCCACUACAUUGUCGCUCAUCUUUGCUUUUCUCUUCUUAGUUGAUGAUUUUAUACUGAACUCAAGUCUUAAUGGAUCGAGCGCGAACUGCAAGUCCGAGUCAGUUAAGGAAAUGGAGCAGCGAAUCCGGAGCUCCCAUGGCUGCUCUUACUGUCGGCUCUUCAUCUCCAAGACAUGGUC